rnacentral:siRNA from 1 species
UGCAGUGAUAUGUGUGCAAUGU